UACGUAGGGCGCAAGCGUUUGUCCGGAAUUAUUGGGCGUAAAGAGCUCGUAGGUGGUCUGUCGCGUCUGCCGUGAAAACCCGAGGCUUAACCUCGGGCUGGCGGUGGAUACGGGCAGACUAGAGGUAGGUAGGGGAGAAUGGAAUUCCCGGUGUAGCGGUGAAAUGCGCAGAUAUCGGGAGGAACACCGGUGGCGAAGGCGGUUCUCUGGGCCUUACCUGACGCUGAGGAGCGAAAGCAUGGGGAGCGAACAGG
rnacentral:rRNA from 1 species